AGACCACACAAGCUUAUGCAUACAAUGUGAAGAAAAAUAACAAAUGUUACAUAAACUUCAGCUUCUAUUAUCCAAUCAGAAGUAACCCUGUGAUGUCCAAUUAGCACAAGUAGUGUUUGUGCAAUCAACACAGUAUCACAAAGUAUAGUCCUGUGUACUCAGGUUGCUUUUUCAGUUUAUAUAGGCUAGCACAAUGUGUGAAAAACAUGCAAUACCAUUGUUCAACAUUGUGAUGAUGAUAUGACUUCAGAUAAAUGAACUUCACAGUUGGACCAAACUGACCCCAAAUAAACUGACGUACACAUAUGGCUUCAUAUGAUUGGCCAAAUGUUUAAAUACACAUUGUGUGUAAAUAAAAUGGUGUUAUCAUAAAAUAUUAUGAUAUGUGGAUGUCCUUAACACACCAACGAUGAAAACACUGUUUAUGGGUCAGCUGUAGUUUACAGUAUAUGUUAUUGCUUAAUAUUCAAGCUCGGCCCACAGCUGAUUAGAAAAAGGUAUGAUUGGAAAACAAGUAUUCAUUGAAUAAAAUUAAAGAAAUGGUGAAAAUGUACAAAUCUGCAUAAUAGGAUUCAAAGACAAACUGUCAAAUUAAUCUCCAUAGCGUGUGCCAGUGUUCCUCGUCUUUUUUGCGUCUGUCGGGCAUGUGACCCUCGUCCUCCAGGUAAUAGACAUAUCCCUUGAGAAUCUCCCACGGGCAAAAACAGACAGAUAGACAUGCCAAUAUUGGAACAACACCAUCCCAUUUUGCCAAAAGGGGAGAAUUUACACUUAUUAGCAGCUUGUGGCAAAGCUGAA